GUUACGUGUUCAUCACCAGCAUCCCUGCCGGUGCCAUGGACAUCCUCAUCAUGGAACGCAGGAAGACAGAAAACAUCCUGGCACUCGCUGAUGAAUAUGGGCAUUUCUUCUUCAACGGCAACUCUGCCAUUGACAACCCCCAGAACUUCAGGGUAGCUGGCACCGUCUUCAAGUACAGGCGGCCCUCGAGUCUGAAUUCAGACGGCCUGGAGUAUAUCAUAGCUCACGGGCCCACCAACCAGUCUCUGAAUGCCAUGGUAUGUGAAGAGGUACUUUUAGCCCUUCCUGUCCUGCCCGUCCCAAAACUGUGAGCCUCCCUCAGACAGAUUGCUUCCUAAUUUUGUUCUCACACCAACCGUGUGGCUGAGGAAGUCAGAUACUGCCUCAUGGGGGUUCCUCUGGGGUUUAGAGGAUGCUAUCUUCUCUUAACAUCUGUCACGAGGCGGAUGCGGUUAGAAGAAAUACAUGCCCUUAGAAUAAAAGAGGUUUUGUUUCCUCUCCCUGUUUCCUCCAGUACUAUAACUUCAAUGGGAAAAUGCCACAUAUAACUUACGACUACACCGUACCACGGGCACCACCACCUCUCCGAACUGCAGCCCCUGCUGUAGACAGACCUCGUUAUCAUCACCCAGUAGAGGCCGGCCAGAGCCAUCCUGUCCCAGCCAACUUCAGAGCUGCCAAGGACUCCAAUGCCACCUGGCUUUCCCUGUCGCCAGAUGACACCAACCAACGGUUUCCUCUAAAAGAUAGGCAUGAAGAUUUAGGCUUCAGCCAUCCACACUUCUUCCACACCAACUCCACCAGCCACCCUCGGGGCUGGGGCUGGGAGCAAGGUGAAGAAAAGGAGAAUGACUUCCACUUAAGACAAGUCUACCACGCAAACGAAGAAGAGGAGGAAGCAGCAGCAGUUGGUGGAGAAACAGAAUUGGCCCUCAAAUUCAACCAGAUUUCCAUCAGCACGGCUGUACCCUACAGCAUGAGGAGGUCUGAGCUGUUGGAGCACAGCCGCCUCGCAUCCUCCAGGCUUCGUCUCUACAGGAGGCUGUGCCACCGGGACCCUCACCACGCUGCCUUCUGCAGGGAGCUGCAGUACCUGGCUGCCAGGCUGGCCCAGAGGAACACCACGGCAGGACUAUGGGCUGAAACGGCUGCCCGGUGGCCACAGGGCCUCCACAAAGCGCCGUCCCGUAAGAACUCACUGGAGGACUUGAAGGUGGAGGUGUUUGCUGGGAGACAGGGGAAGGAGAGCAACUACAGCAUGGUGACAUCUGUGGAGAGCUCUCUGCUGGGUGCCAGCACAGCGGUGGACGUCAACCAGGCAGAGCCUCUGCGAGCCCCCGGCACUGAAAGCAACGAGUUUGAUGUGAGCCCCGUGGGCCACGAUGACAUCAGCUUGGCUGACAUGUAUCGGUGGAAGGUCUCAGCUUAUGCCCCCUGCAGCUCCACCUGCACUUCGGGUAGGUAG
rnacentral:lncRNA from 7 species